UUUAAUUGAAGAGUUUGAUCAUGGCUCAGAUUGAACGCUGGCGGCAGGCCUAACACAUGCAAGUCGAGCGGCAGCGGAAGGAAGCUUGCUUCCUUGCCGGCGAGCGGCGGACGGGUGAGUAAUGUCUGGGGAUCUGCCCGAUGGAGGGGGAUAACUACUGGAAACGGUAGCU
rnacentral:rRNA from 1 species